CUGGAGCCCAGAUCUGAAUGCUUCAAAAGCUUGCUUAAGUCUGUCCCAACCAUGCAGUUGGUCCAAUAAAAGAUACAUCACCCACAAAAAUCCUUUGCUU